UAACAUGAGAGUUUGAUCCUGGCUCAGGAUGAACGCUGGCGGCGUGCUUAACACAUGCAAGUCGAACGAAGCAAUUUGGCGGAAGUUUUCGGAUGGAAGUUAAAUUGACUGAGUGGCGGACGGGUGAGUAACGCGUGGGUAACCUGCCUCACACUGGGGGACAACAGUUAGAAAUGACUGCUAAUACCGCAUAAGCGCACAGGACCGCAUGGUCUAGUGUGAAAAACUCCGGUGGUGUGAGAUG
rnacentral:rRNA from 1 species